rnacentral:rRNA from 1 species
CCUACGGGAGGCAGCAGUGGGGAAUAUUGGGCAAUGGAGGCAACUCUGACCCAGCAACGCCGCGUGAAUGAUGAAGGUCUUCUGAUUGUAAAGCUCUUUUCUAAGGGAAGAAGAAAGUGACGGUACCUUAGGAAUAAGCCGCGGCUAACAACGUGCCAGCAGCCGCGGUAAUACGGAGGAUGCGAGCGUUAUCCGGAUUUAUUGGGUUAAAAGGGUGCGUAGGCGGAAUAUCAAGUCAGCGGUAAAAAUGCGGGGCUCAACCCCGUCGUGCCGUUGAAACUGAUGUUCUUGAGUGGGCGAGAAGUAUGCGGAAUGCGUGGUGUAGCGGUGAAAUGCAUAGAUAUCACGCAGAACUCCGAUUGCGAAGGCAGCAUACCGGCGCCCAACUGACGCUGAAGCACGAAAGCGUGGGUAUCGAACAGGAUUAGAUACCCUAGUAGUC